AGAGAUGUGUGAUGACGCAUAUCAAUAAGCGGAGGAAAAGAAACUAACAAGGAUUCCCUUAGUAACGGCGAGUGAAGCGGGAAGAGCUCAAAUUUGAAAUCUUCAAGGUUCUACCUUGACGAAUUGUAGUUUAUAAGAAGUGUUUUCUGUUAGUAGGAGUGGCAAAAGUUCUUUGGAAUAGGACAUCAUAGAGGGUGAGAAUCCCGUAUUUGGUCAUUCCUUCUAGCUUUGUGAUACACUUUCAACGAGUCGGAUUGUUUGGGAAUGCAGUCCAAAAUGGGUGGUAAAUUUCAUCUAAAGCUAAAUAUUGGCGAGAGACCGAUAGCGAACAAGUACCGUGAGGGAAAGAUGAAAAGAACUUUGAAAAGAGAGUUAAACAGUACGUGAAAUUGUCGAAAGGGAAGCGUUUGACACCAGUGUUGUUUUUCCGAAAAUCAAUUACGAAUGUUUUGUUUUUAAGAAGUUAUGACUUCAUCGGCUUGCUUCUUUCUUUACGAAACUUUCUUAAUGCACUUUUCGGUUAACAAGUCAACAUCAAUUUCUUUUGUUGUAAAAGGGUACGAGGAAGGUGGCUUUCUUUUCGGAGAAAGUGUUUAUAGCCUUGUACCUCUGCAAUCGGAGAGAUUGAGGUCUGCAGCGUAGAUCCUUCGGGGUUAGAUACAUUUGUGCUAAGUUAUAGCUUUUCAUAGACAACUUGUUGACUAUGUUAAGUCUUGUAGCUUACUCGCUUAUGCUAUUUUACCUACGCUUAGGAUGUUGACAGCAGUAUAGACUGUACAUAGCGACUAUCGUGGCAUAUCAAUAAGCGGAGGAAAAGCGCAUUAAAGAUCCAGAUACCUACGCUUAGGAUGUUGAUAGUCACAGCGUGUAC
rnacentral:rRNA from 1 species